GAACGCACAUUGCGCCCUCUGGUAUUCCGGAGGGCAUGCCUGUCUGAGCGUCAAUAUAACAUCAAACACCAGUUUGGUCUUGGAAGAAGAGAUGGCAACGUCUCCCUUCUGUAAAUCAUUGAGCAGCGGUCCAAGCUAUGCGACGUAGUAAGCACAAAUCUCGUCGAACUGUAGCCUUGUGACUGUUUGCCAUAACCCAAAUAUAUCAUUGUUUGACCUCAGAUCAGGUAGGGAUACCCCCUGAACUUA
rnacentral:misc_RNA from 1 species